GCGAUCAUACCAGCACUAAUGCACCGGAUCCCAUCAGAACUCCGAAGUUAAGCAUGCUUGGGCGAGAGUAGUACUAGGAUGGGUGACCCCUAGGAAGUCCUCGUGUUGCACCCC
rnacentral:rRNA from 1 species